GGACCAUUGGCGCAACGGUAGCGCGUCUGAUUCCAGUUUCCUCAUCUCUGGAGCCUCCAGAAGGUUAGCCGUUCGAAUCGGCUAUGGUUCA